rnacentral:tRNA from 1 species
GCGGGCGUCGCCAAGUGGUAAGGCGUUAGCCUUCCAAGCUAAUAUUCGUCGGUUCGAAUCCGAUCGCCCGCU